GUGCUCAAUGAUGUUAAUAAAUUCUUGAGCAUGCUUCGAAUCAUUCUCACUGAUCUGUUUCUUUGCCCUCUCCAUCAUGUAAUAUAAGAAACCCAUCUGGAGGUAUCUCUCACUGUCCACGACGCGAAGCACCUCAUAUAAUGGCUUAAUAGCCUUCACUACCUUCUCAGUCCGCUGCCAAAAUGACUGACUCGUCAUCAAGUUCUCCACAUGACUUCCAUCAGUGUCGGUCCUCGCAUAUCUGCUCUCCUGCCACUCGGCACUGA
rnacentral:lncRNA from 1 species